ensembl:lncRNA
UACAUCACUUAAACCCAUGACACAGCUGCAUGGGCCCACGAGGCACCUGCCUCUUAGCGUCCCUACAAGACAGUAGCUGGAAUCUCGGAGGUGGAACUCCUCCAGAAAGCCCUCUUCUUCAAAACGCUGCCUGUAGCACUGGAGUAUGGCACCCUGAAGUCAUGCAAACAACUCACAUCAUCCUUAUCAAGAGAGAGGGUUCACAACAGCCCAUCUUUCAAGUUUAUCAAGGUCCCUCUGGAUGGCCUCUCUUCCUUCCACUGUAUCAACCGCAUCGCUCAGUGUGGUGUCAUCAGCAAACUUGCUGAGGGUGCACUCAAUCCCAUCAUCUAUGUCAUUGAUAAAGAUGUUAAAGAGUACUGGUCCCAAGACAGACCCCUGAGGGACACCGCUUGUUACUGACAUCACCUGGACACAGAGCCAUUGACCACAGCCUUCUGUCUGCAACCAUACAACCAAGUCCUUAUUGCAAUGAAUAGUCCACAUUUCAAAUCCAUAUUUCUCCAAUUCAGAGAUAAGGAUGUGAUGUGGGACCAUGUCAAAGGCCUUGCAGAAGUCCAGGUGCCAUCUGCUGAGCUAACAGAAACCAGCUGGUUGCUGGGUUCUACAAAGGGAAGCUUACAGCAAACUGAAAGCAUACUCAUUCUGGUGGUGCCCAAGGCACAGACUCCAUCACCACUGCAAAGAACAAGACCUGAGGAUGUUACAGCCAACACACUGAGGUUUGGUAAGAGCAGAAUUAUUUCUUCCCUUAAGAUUUCUGCAAAGGAACAUGCGAGCAGAACAAGGAGAUAUUCAACAGGUAGCUGAUCGUGAAACAUAAUAUUUGACAGUACAGGAAGUCUCUUUGUACUUGAAUUAUUUUGAAUUGCUAUUGCUCAAUCUUUUUGUAAAUGGUUAAUUGAGAAGAUUUUUUUCAUAUGAAAACAUUUCCCCUCCUUCUUUAUUAUUAUGAACUUUGUACAAAUCAGGCAAAGGUGGACCUUGAAAGAUAAUCUCUCUGAAAGUGCUAGACACAAAAUCCUAGCUGUAUAUGUUAAGAGACUCCAUUCAAGUAAUAUUAAAUAAAUAGAUACCCUGACCUUCUUAAGGUGUCUCAAACUUCACUUUCAGUUGUUUCAUCUCUCAUAUAUCUUGGAAAAAUAUGGGAAUUUUAUUCUCUACAGUACGCUUUUCUUCUCAGGGAGGUGAUCCUGCCCCUCUACUCUGCGCUGGUGAGGCCUCACCUGGAGUAUUGCAUCCAGAUGUGGAGUCCUCAGUACAGGAGAGACAUAGACCUGAGUGUGUCCAGAGGAUGGCAGCAAAAAUGAUCCAAGUGAUGUGACACCUCUCCUACAAGGACAGGCUGUGAGAGCUGGGGCUGCUCCAGGUAGACUUGGUAGCGACCUUUCAGUAUCUAAAGAGGGGCUGAAAGAAAGAAAGGGACAGACUCUUUAGCAGGGUUUUUAGCUUUUGAGAUAGGACAGGCAGAAAUUAUUUCAAACUAAGAGAUUUAGAAGGGAUAUAAGAAAAAAUGUUUUUUAUGAUAGGGUUAGUGAAACAGUGAAAUAGGUUGCCCCAGGAUGUGGUGGAGGAGUGGUCCCUAGAGACACUGAAGGUCAGACUGGAUGGGACUCUGAGCAACCUGAUAUAGCUGUAGAUGUCUGUUUGUUGCAAGGAAGUUAGACUAGAUGACCUUUAAAGGUCCCUUCUAACUCAACUCCUACACUUCCACAUUCAAUUUCCUUCUGCUUAGAAAAUUCUGUUGUUCUAUCAGAUGUCUUUGAAAUAGUCCAAGUCACAUCUGUCAAGCACAUUCUAAGUUUUUGUCUUUGAAUAGUAACACCCAGCAGAUGUGCUUUUAAGUAAGGUAUUAACCAACCUCUGCUCUUAGCUUGAAAAAAGCAUCUUCCAGCUCUGACGCUGCACUGUCCAGAUGAAAAAUCUGAUGCAUGCCUCUAUAAUUGAAAGGAAAAAAAAAAAGCAAUAUGAAGCAACCAAUAUGGUCUUUGUUUAACAAGUCCUCCAGAAAGCAACUUUUGUAAAUAGACCUGACUGAGAAUUCCUCUGAACUGCAGUUUGGAAAUUCUAGCUGCAGGCCACAUCUAUUUUCCUG